rnacentral:misc_RNA from 1 species
CUGGAGUAGUACCUCGACCUUACAGAAGACCACAGCUAAAUAAUACUGUUUUUAAGCAGUAUUGUGUUCCUGUUGGUGAGUAAGGUGACCAGAGCUCCUGGGGGGGAUUGGGUCGGCAACGCGCUUUCGAUGCUUCUGGUGUUGCAGGCGUCUAUAAGCUACGGUAAUCGCUUACCAUCAGGUGAGCCGUACGCUUGUUUGUCGACCUAGUUGUAU